rnacentral:rRNA from 1 species
GACCGUGCGAAGGUAGCAUAAUAGUUAGUCUUUUAAUUGGAGGCUGGAAUGAACGGUCGGACAAAGAACCAACUGUCUCGGUAGUAAUUAUUAAAUUUAACUUUUUGGUGAAAAGGCCAGGAUGACCUGGGGGGACGACAAGACCCUGUAAAACUUUACAUUGAAUUAGUAAAGCUAGAACUAUUUGUGACAAUGGUUGUACUAAUUAUAUUUGUUUUGUUGGGGCGACAUGAGUAUAAUUAAUUAACUGCUCUUAGAAAAAACAAUUAUUUUUGUUAUGUAAAUGAUCCUUUAUAUUAAGAUUUAAAGAAAAAGUUACUUCAGGGAUAACAGCGUUAUUUUUUUUGAGAGUUCUUAUCGACAAAAUAGAUUGCGACCUCGAUGUUGAAUUAAAAUUUUCUUAUAGUGUAGCAGCUAUGAAGAAAGGUCUGUUCGACCUU